rnacentral:rRNA from 1 species
AGAGUUUGAUCAUGGCUCAGAACGAACGCUGGCGGCGUGCUUAACACAUGCAAGUCGAACGCGAACGAUUUUCUUCGGAGAAUUUAGUAGAGUGGCGCACGGGUGAGUAACGCGUAAGUAAUCUACCCUGGCAUCUGGGAUAACCCACCGAAAGGUGUGCUAAUACUGGAUACGCUGAUUUAUCAGGAAAGGUGGCCUCUGAUUUAAGCUACCGUGCUGGGAGGAGCUUGCGUACCAUUAGCUAGUUGGUAGGGUAAAGGCCUACCAAGGCGACGAUGGUUAGCGGGUCUGAGAGGAUGAUCCGCCACACUGGAACUGGAACACGGACCAGACUCCUACGGGAGGCAGCAGUGAGGAAUAUUGCGCAAUGGGGGAAACCCUGACGCAGCGACGCCGCGUGGAUGAUGAAGGCUUUCGAGUCGUAAAAUCCUGUCAGAUGGAAAGAAGUGCAUAUGUAUUAAUAGUGGAUAUGGGGACGG